rnacentral:rRNA from 1 species
ACCCUGAUGCAGCGACGCCGCGUGGAGGAAGAAGGUCUUCGGAUUGUAAACUCCUGUUGUUGAGGAAGAUAAUGACGGUACUCAACAAGGAAGUGACGGCUAACUACGUGCCAGCAGCCGCGGUAAAACGUAGGUCACAAGCGUUGUCCGGAAUUACUGGGUGUAAAGGGAGCGCAGGCGGGAAGACAAGUUGGAAGUGAAAUCCAUGGGCUCAACCCAUGAACUGCUUUCAAAACUGUUUUUCUUGAGUAGUGCAGAGGUAGGCGGAAUUCCCGGUGUAGCGGUGGAAUGCGUAGAUAUCGGGAGGAACACCAGUGGCGAAGGCGGCCUACUGGGCACCAACUGACGCUGAGGCUCGAAAGUGUGGGUAGCAAACAGGAUUAGAUACCCUGGUAGUCCACACCGUAAACGAUGAUUACUAGGUGUUGGAGGAUUGACCCCUUCAGUGCCGCAGUUAACACAAUAAGUAAUCCACCUGGGGAGUACGACCGCAAGGUUGAAACUCAAAGGAAUUGACGGGGGCCCGCACAAGCAGUGGAGUAUGUGGUUUAAUUCGACGCAACGCGAAGAACCUUACCAAGUCUUGACAUCCUGCGACGCACAUAGAAAUAUGUGUUUCCUUCGGGACGCAGAGACAGGUGGUGCAUGGUUGUCGUCAGCUCGUGUCGUGAGAUGUUGGGUUAAGUCCCGCAACGAGCGCAACCCUUAUGGUCAGUUACUACGCAAGAGGACUCUGGCCAGACUGCCGUUGACAAAACGGAGGAAGGUGGGGAUGACGUCAAAUCAUCAUGCCCUUUAUGACUUGGGCUACACACGUACUACAAUGGCGUUAAACAAAGAGAAGCAAGACCGCGAGGUGGAGCAAAACUCAGAAACAACGUCCCAGUUCGGACUGCAGGCUGCAACUCGCCUGCACGAAGUCGGAAUUGCUAGUAAUCGUGGAUCAGCAUGCCACGGUGAAUACGUUCCCGGGCCUUGUACACACCGCCCGUCACACCAUGAGAGCCGGGGGGACCCGAAGUCGGUAGUCUAACCGCAAGGAGGACGCCGCCGAAGGUAAAACUGGUGAUUGGGGUGAAGUCGUAACAAGGUAGCCGUAGGAGAACCUGCGGCUG